rnacentral:rRNA from 1 species
UGGAUCCAGACUUUGAUUCUGGCUCAGGACGAACGCUGGCGGCAUGCCUAACACAUGCAAGUCGAACGGGGUAUGAUAGCAGAAGACUACGGUUGGAAGCUAGAAAUACCAAGUGGCGGACGGGUGAGUAACGCGUGGGUAACGUACCUUCCAGAGGGGAAUAACCGUGAGAAAUCACAGCUAAUACCGCAUGAGGUUCAACCAUCGCAUGAUGGAAGAAAGAAAGGUGGCAGAGCAGAGCAGCUGCCGCUGGGAGAGCGACCCGCGUCUGAUUAGCUAGUUGGUGAGAUAAAAGCCCACCAAGGCAACGAUCAGUAGCCGGCCUGAGAGGGUGAACGGCCACAUUGGGACUGAGACACGGCCCAAACUCCUACGGGAGGCAGCAGUGGGGAAUCUUCCGCAAUGGGCGAAAGCCUGACGGAGCAAUGCCGCGUGAACGAAGAAGGCCUUCGGGUUGUAAAGUUCUGUCCUAGCCGAAGAGAGAGGAUGAGAGUAACUGCUCGCUCUAGGACGGUAGGGUAGGAGGAAGCCCCGGCUAACUACGUGCCAGCAGCCGCGGUAAAACGUAGGGGGCAAGCGUUGUCCGGAAUCACUGGGCGUAAAGGGCGCGUAGGCGGCAAUAUAAGUCAGGUGUGAAAAGUGAGGGCUCAACCGUUAGAGUGCACCUGAUACUGUAUAGCUUGAGUAUGGGAGAGGGAAGCGGAAUUCCUAGUGUAGCGGUGAAAUGCGUAGAUAUUAGGAAGAACACCAGUGGCGAAGGCGGCUUUCUGGCCCAAAACUGACGCUGAGGCGCGAAAGCGUGGGGAGCAAACAGGAUUAGAUACCCUGGUAGUCCACGCCGUAAACGAUGGGUACUAGGUGUUAGGGGUUUCGAUGCCCUUAGUGCCGGAGUAAACACAAUAAGUACCCCGCCUGGGGAGUACGGUCGCAAGACUGCAACUCAAAUGAAUUGACGGA